GCAGUCGAACGGCAGCAUAGUCUAGUUUACUAGAUGGGUGGCGAGUGGCGAACGGGUGAGUAACGCGUAGGAAUAUACCUUAAAGUGGGGGACAACCUGGGGAAACUCAGGCUAAUACCGCAUAAUCUCUGAGGAGAGAAGCUGGGGACCUUCGGGCCUGGCGCUUUAAGAUUAGCCUGCGUCCGAUUAGCUAGUUGGUGUGGUAAAGGCUCACCAAGGCGACGAUCGGUAGCUGGUCUGAGAGGAUGGCCAGCCACACUGGAACUGAGACACGGUCCAGACUCCUACGGGAGGCAGCAGUGGGGAAUAUUGGACAAUGGGGGGAACCCUGAUCCAGCAAUGCCGCGUGUGUGAAGAAGGCCUGAGGGUUGUAAAGCACUUUCAGCGGGGAGGAGGGUUGAUAGGUUAAGAGCUAGUUAACUGGACGUUACCCGCAGAAGAAGCACCGGCUAACUCCGUGCCAGCAGCCGCGGUAAUACGGAGGGUGCGAGCGUUAAUCGGAAUUACUGGGCGUAAAGGGUGCGUAGGUGGUUUAGCAAGUUAUCUGUAAAAGCCCUGGGCUCAACCUGNGAAGGCCAGAUAAAACUGUUAGACUAGAGUAUGGGAGAGGGUAAGUGGAAUUUCCNGGUGUAGCGGGUGAAUGCGUAGAGAUCGGAANGGAACACAGUGGGCGAAGGCAGCUACCUGGCCUGAUACUGACACUGAAGCA
rnacentral:rRNA from 1 species